rnacentral:rRNA from 1 species
AUUGAACGCUGGCGGCAGGCUUAACACAUGCAAGUCGAGCGGUAACAGAGAGAAGCUUGCUUCUCUGCUGACGAGCGGCGGACGGGUGAGUAAUGCCUAGGAAUCUGCCUAGUAGUGGGGGAUAACUUGCCGAAAGGUAAGCUAAUACCGCAUACGUCCUACGGGAGAAAGGAGGGGACCUUCGGGCCUUUCGCUAUUAGAUGGGCCUAGGUCGGAUUAGUUAGUGGUGAGGUAAUGGCUCACCAAGACCGCGAUCCGUAACUGGUCUGAGAGGAUGAUCAGUCACACUGGAACUGAGACACGGUCCAGACUCCUACGGGAGGCAGCAGUGGGGAAUAUUGGACAAUGGGGGGGACCCUGAUCCAGCCAUGCCGCGUGUGUGAAGAAGGUCUUAGGAUUGUAAAGCACUUUAAGUUGGGAGGAAGAGCAGUUAACUAAUAUUUGACUGUUUUGACGUUACCAACAGAAUAAGCACCGGCUAACUUCGUGCCAGCCGCCGCAGUAA